rnacentral:rRNA from 1 species
GACGAACGCUGGCGGCGUGCUUAACACAUGCAAGUCGAACGGAAAGGCCCUGCUUUUGUGGGGUGCUCGCGUGGCGAACGGGUGAGUAACACGUGAGUAACCUGCCCAUGACUUUGGGAUAACUUCAGGAAACUGGGGCUAAUACAGGAUAGGAGCUCCUGCUGCAUGGUGGGGGUCGGAAAGUUUCGGCGGGGGGGGAUGGACGCGCGGCUUAUUAGCUUGUUGGUGGGGGAGUGGCUUACCAAGGCUUUGACGGAUAGCCGGCCUGAGAGGGUGACCGGCCACAUUGGGACUGAGAUACGGCCCAGACUGCUACGGUGGGCAGCAGUGGGGAACAUUGCACAGUGGGCGGAAGCCUGAUGCAGCAACGCCGCGUGCGGGAUGACGGCCUUCGGGUGGUAAACCGCUUUCGCCUGUGACGAAGCGUGAGUGACGGUAAUGGGUAAAGAAGCACCGGCUAACUACGUG